ensembl:lncRNA
UUGCACACACAAGAACAAAGACCUUCAGUCUUUUGAAAGCUGAGACAGAUACGGCCAGGGCCGCCACAGAGGGAGGCAGAUAUUUUCCCCCCGGCAAGACUCUCCUAUGUUGGUAAUAAUAAGAAUAAAGGGGUGUGUUUGCUGAUGUCUGUCGGACCAUUACCCUGGUGCAUCACCCAAGAGCGCCUCAAGUUCCAAGCACAAAGUGACUGCCAGACAUCCUCCUUCAGGAUUUUCUGAGGGAGCAUCUGAUGCUUGUUUUACCCAGUCAUUUUUUCUUUAGUCUAAAUCUAGCAUUUGGUUUUUAAAAUCACUUUCAGAAGCCCAUGUGGUGGAACUAGG